AUUGUGGGUUGUCAGUGAGGUGGGAUCCUGCCGAGGAUUCGGGAGGAUGUGAUGAGUUCUCCCCAGCUCGCAUCAAGGACAGGUGGACCGAUUCAGAAAAAGAAUUACAACACAGUUUGAAGAGGAAAAGAAAGGAUACAGGGUCCCAGUGCAAUGGAACUGGUACCUCAAAAUGCCACCGUGAAAGUGUGCUUCGCCUCACUGGAGAAGACCGAAGAGAUGGAGGACCAGACCCUCCAGAUAUUUGCCUGGAAGAAGGUGGAGAAGACGGAGAUCUGGAGAGCCUGGACCGUAGCAUUGUACAAUUCACUGUGGGAGCAGAGGAUCCUACAGAGGGUCUGCUUCCAAUCAUCAGUGCCAAUAUGCAGGCUGGAGACUUUAUUGUUACCCCCAUACAAAGUCCAUCAUCAGGCCAGGACAACACAACCAAAACCAGCCCAUCUGAACCCAGUGAGUACACCAGCACAGGAUGAGUGGUGCAUCAAAGAGUCAUUCUUCUGCUGAAACUUUUGUUUACUUAUAUAUGAGGAGACAGGAAACAGUUGCUCAGGCAGCUUAAUGCCAUUUUGUAGGUUCUUUUCCAGGAUUACUACUGUCCCUCCUCUCCCACAAAGCCCUUUACACCUCCUAUGUGCAGUGUCAAUUAAUGACAUGUAUGUGCUUGGGAGUGUACCUGUCUUUGAAGGCAGUAAAAACAUCGCAUAACUUAUAACAUGGUAAAUUCACACGUGGCCUGAUGUGUUCUCCAUGCUGGUAUUUCAGUUAUCCUGUCCAGUGACGAUGAGGAGAGCAGUGACGUUCCUCAGCUCUGCAGCCCAGCGGUCCAUACACUGGUCACGUUGGAAGACGCAAUACAGGGACAAUCCCCAGAUGGAGCUGGGGCCGAACAUCAAGAAGCUUCUGACUUGGAAAACGUACAGCUGCUGCAUGUAGUUGUAGAAGAUCUUCCUCCAAUGGAAGUUUCUCUCAUCCCCGCUGUAGACUACACCUGCAUGCAGGUGGGCUUCUCCACCCUGCACUGUGGAGGUUACCAAGGGAAAUCGAAUGGAGACAUCAUGAUGGCAGAUGAAAAAGUCAUCAUCCCACUGAAGGACUCCAGUGAAGAGGUGGAGGUCAUGGUAACCUUUGAGCGUAAAGAGCUGCGGAGGUACAGCGUUUGGGAGCAGCAGGAACUGGAGGCCCAGGAGCUUCACUUUAGGAGCAACGAGGAGCUUUCCCCUCCCGCUUUCCUUCUGCUUUGUGUGUCAGAAACGGCUGGAGCUGCAGUACAUCGGGACCUCCUCAAGCUCUGUGUUGAUCAAGAGGCAAUCAUGAACACGGGAAAGGUGAGCCCCUUCAUCCUGCUGACUCUGAGACAUCCUCUGGAGGGAAUGGAAGGGGCUUUAUUCCGCUCCCUCCUAGAUAUCGACUGCCUCAACAGUCUUGCCGAAAAAUCCAUCCUUCCUCAUAAUGCAGACGUAAUGAGUGAUUUUGAAGACUUCCACACUCCUGUUCUUUCUCUGGAUGAUAGCAUAGACUUGGUUAGAAGAACUGGACUGGACCCUCACCUGCUGUCUCUGCUCGGCCUGGAGAGCGCUGAGGCUGGACUUGACACAGACCAGGACGGUCCAUAUUCUGAUACAGACACGGAUCCCAUACCACUCAUACCACUGGAGGUAGAGUCACAGACAGAGACAAUACUGGGGCUGGAGACAGCGACGGAAUCAGACCCAGAGACACCAGUCGAACCAGAGGAGGAGCAGAAAGAACAGGAACUCGAGCUUCCCUCUGAGGUGAGUCAUUUUUUUUUUUUUUGUAGUCUGACCUCUUUAAAAAAUACGAGCAUUUACCUCAUCAAGCAGGGGUCCCACAUGUCCUUGAAAGUGUUUGCAAAAAGUCUAAAUAGACAUAACUCAUUGAAAGUGCUUGAAUUUAAAUGUAUUGUGGGAUAUUUGUUGUUGUUUUUUACUUGGACUUAA
rnacentral:lncRNA from 1 species